CCUGUCUAACCAAUCAUCUUUCACCUUCAGCCCGCUCAUCCCGCCCCCUCAAAGACUGUAUUCCGUUAUUGACAGCGGAUCUGAUCCGGGAGGUUAUAAAUCUGCUCUGAUGGGAGUCACAGUCACAGCGGGAAACGGCUGACAUUUCACCCUCGUCUCAGGCUUUAGAAGUCCUGCAGGACACGUGCGAGUGAUUGAGGGUGACCAGAUGCUGCAUCCCAACAUACCUGAGCUCUGCUGUGUCUGCGUCUGAUCAAUCUGUCAAUGAAAGAAUCCCUGACAGAUGAACAACAUCAGCGCUGUCUGAUACACUGUAGUCUGGGAUCCUCUGCGCAGCUGUGCCGCAGUAUGAAGGUCAAACAAACAACACAUGAGACGUCCGGCUAUUUUUCUUAAGGUUAAACAAGCGACCAGAAGAACACCAGCGAGGGAAGAGCAUUAUAUGAGUAAUUCAGCCAAAAAUUAAACAGUCUGUC